rnacentral:rRNA from 1 species
GACGAACGCUGGCGGUGUGCUUAACACAUGCAAGUCGAACGGUAAGGCCCUUUCGGGGGUACAUGACUGGCGAACGGGUGCGUAACACGUGAGUAAACUGCCCACACUUCUGGGUUAACAGUCGGAAACGGUUGCUAAUUCCGGUUAUAACCCUGCCAGGCACCUUGUGGGUUCGAAAGAUUUUCUUUGUUUGGGUAUGGACUCGAGGCGUAUCAGCUUUUUGGUGGGGUAGUGGCUCACCCAGGCUUCGACGGGGAGCCGGCCUGAGAGGGCGACCAGCCACAUUGGGACUGAGAGACGGCCCAAACUCCGGCGGGAGGCAGCAGUGGGGAAUAUUUCACAAUGGACGGAAGUCUGAGGCAGCAACGCCGCGUGGGGGAUGACGGCCUUCGUGUUGUAAGCCGCUUUCAAUGGUGACAAAGCGUUUUUGUGACGGUAGCAAUAGAAGAAGCACCGGCUAACUACGUG